GAGUUUGAUCGUGGCUCAGAUUGAACGCUGGCAGCAUGCCUUACACAUGCAAGUCGAACGGCAGCACGGGAGCUUGCUCCUGGUGGCGAGUGGCGAACGGGUGAGUAAUGCAUCGGAACGUAUCCUGGAGUGGGGGAUAACGUAGCGAAAGUUACGCUAAUACCGCAUAUUCUGUGAGCAGGAAAGCGGGGGACCUUCGGGCCUCGCGCUCUUGGAGCGGCCGAUGUCGGAUUAGCUAGUUGGUGAGGUAAAGGCUCACCAAGGCGACGAUCCGUAGCAGGUCUGAGAGGAUGAUCUGCCACACUGGAACUGAGACACGGUCCAGACUCCUACGGGAGGCAGCAGUGGGGAAUUUUGGACAAUGGGGGCAACCCUGAUCCAGCCAUGCCGCGUGAGUGAAGAAGGCCU
rnacentral:rRNA from 1 species